CUGGGCAUGUGUAUGACCCAGCAUCUGGUAUUAAAAGUCUUUUUCUCUUCAUUGGUUUCUAGAAUACAAAAAAAAUUCAAAAAAUAUAAUGGUAGCUGAUACCUGAUUUUAAAUGGCAACAAUUAUUAAUGUAAACAAAAGAAGUUUUGAGUAAGUGCAUGAGCAAUCUUAAAUUAUAAUAAAAAAAUAAUUCAAAAUUGCA